GGAAAGGCACCACCAGGCGUGGAGCNUGCGGCUUAAUUUGACUCAACACGGGGAAACUCACCAGGUUAACACAGAGAUGUUUUACACGUCUGGGCCUGGAAUAGCGAACGAGCUUCGCUAGUACUGCAGUUAAUCCAUGAGGGGAAGUCCCCAUUUUCGGGCAUGGAGGCGCGAGCCUUUGCAGUGCGACACCAGCUGGUACAGGGGACGCUAGAACUCAGGACCCUCCUGAGAUGCCAAUCCUGUGGCGAGCUCAGGUAACGCUGAGCCGUCGCAACGCACGCCAAGCGGUGGGUCGCGAGUCGCCCUUGACUCGUGGCUUGAGGUACGUGCUAAUCCCAUGAGAAAUCAUGCUCCCACGACUAGGCCCGAAUGCCGAAGCGUGGGGGGUCGUGCGGACCGCGAGGUUCGACGAUGGCCGCCCGGGGCACGUCAUUGUGCCCCGGGGGAGUAGAUGCCAGACACAGUAAGGAUUGACAGAUUGAGAGCUCUUUCUUGAUUUUGUGGUUGGUGGUGCAUGGCUGUUCUUAGUUGGUGGAGUGAUCUGUCUGCUUAAUUGCGAUAACGAACGAGACCUUAACCUGCUAAAUAGCCAGGCCAGCUUUGGCUGGUCGCCGGCUUCUUAGAGGGACUAUCGGCUCAAGCCGAUGGAAGUUUGAGGCAAUAACAGGUCUGUGAUGCCCUUAGAUGUUCUGGGCCGCACGCGCGCUACACUGACAGAGCCAACGAGUAAUCCACCUUGGCCGAAAGGUCUGGGUAAUCUUGUUAAACUCUGUCGUGCUGGGGAUAGAGCAUUGCAAUA
rnacentral:rRNA from 1 species